CACAAACAUCCUGUAUUCACAGUACACACACUACAUCCCCACACAUUCAAACGCUCUGUAUUCACUAUACAGAGACACUGCAUCUAAUACAAACACUACAUCCACUACAGACACUGCAUCCACUAAACACAUUGCAUCUAGUACACACAAACACUACAUCACUGUACACACACUACAUCCACUACUCAAACACACUCUGCGUUCAC